rnacentral:rRNA from 1 species
GGGUUGUGAGGUUAAGCGACUAAGCGUACACGGUGGAUGCCCUGGCAGUCAGAGGCGAUGAAGGACGUGCUAAUCUGCGAUAAGCGUCGGUAAGGUGAUAUGAACCGUUAUAACCGGCGAUUUCCGAAUGGGGAAACCCAGUGUGAUUCGUCACACUAUCAUUAACUGAAUCCAUAGGUUAAUGAGGCGAACCGGGGGAACUGAAACAUCUAAGUACCCCGAGGAAAAGAAAUCAACCGAGAUUCCCCCAGUAGCGGCGAGCGAACGGGGAGCAGCCCAGAGCCUGAAUCAGUGUGUGUGUUAGUGGAAGCGUCUGGAAAGGCGCGCGAUACAGGGUGACAGCCCCGUACACAAAAAUGCACAUGCUGUGAGCUCGAUGAGUAGGGCGGGACACGUGGUAUCCUGUCUGAAUAUGGGGGGACCAUCCUCCAAGGCUAAAUACUCCUGACUGACCGAUAGUGAACCAGUACCGUGAGGGAAAGGCGAAAAGAACCCCGGCGAGGGGAGUGAAAAAGAACCUGAAACCGUGUACGUACAAGCAGUGGGAGCACGCUUAGGCGUGUGACUGCGUACCUUUUGUAUAAUGGGUCAGCGACUUAUAUUCUGUAGCAAGGUUAACCGAAUAGGGGAGCCGAAGGGAAACCGAGUCUUAACUGGGCGUUAAGUUGCAGGGUAUAGACCCGAAACCCGGUGAUCUAGCCAUGGGCAGGUUGAA